GAUGAUUACCUGUAUGAAUAUCGUGACCUCUGACCUCCAAGACGACGAUUACAAAGAGAACGAAAGACGACAUUUCAGGGAGUUCUUGUUUCGUGGACACCUUGUAAACCACCGUGAUGGGAGCACACGCAUAGGUCUAUCAAAGAACCUACGAUAUCAAGUCUUACUAAGAGGGAAAGCCAAUAGGACUAAUUCCAUCUCCACCCAGCCCCGGGGGAGGUUGUGUUGGAUUCGUCCACCUGCCACAGAGUCAGGAACUGAGUAAGACUGGGUGUGUCUCACAGAAGUACCUAUCUAGCUGUGUCGCCAACUGUCAUUACAGUGCAAGAAAACCCCAGUGUUGGGCGGCAUCAUGGCUACACCUUCGCCAGAGCUCAUGCCCCUGUGGGCGGGUCUGGCGGUGAGCGGUUCCGUGCUGAUCGCCACCGUGGCGGCCGUGGUGACGUACUGCCACUCCCGACAGCAGGCCCGCCGCGACCAGCGUCUCCGGGCCAGACUGAGCCGUGUCAACGAGCAACUCUCCAAACUGUACGGGCCCCUGUACGGCAACAGGCUGGCCAAUCACAAGGCGUACGCCCAGGCCUUGGGCACACAUUCCACCCUUGACUCGUACCUGAACGACGCUCUACAAACCUGGCAGAUGGACCGACAUACCGGCAGCAUGAUGCUGUCACGAUGGCGGACAUUCCUUUUCUACAUCAUGUACCCGUUAGACCUAAAGGCAGAGGAGAUCAUUCGCGACAACAUCCACCUGUGCGAGGGACAUUUUCCCCAGGGGUUCGCUGACUUCCUCUUCCACACCAACUAUCUGCGCAUCGUCCUGUCUCACUGGCAGCUCAGGAAAGACGGGACUCUGGACACAGAGCUGGAGUACGCUCAAGAGGACGACUUCUACCGCGAGAACAACGGUGGAUUCGCCUUCCAUUACCCUAUAUUCGACCAGCUGGACGUGUUCGUGAAGGACACAUAUGAGAGUCUGCUGCUGCAUCAGCAGGGUUUGCUGAAGGCCCUGAAGGAGGGCGACAGCGGUGAGGUUGGAACAGUUCUUGUCAGUCCUCGUGGCGCCGAACAAGCAACGGAAGUUACCGAAGUCUAUCCGAUCUAUGUCCCCGUUGGCCCUGCCAAGGGAGGCAAGGGAGCUACAAACGGCCAUGGCAGUGUUCGCAAGGACAUUGAAGACCGAGACGCUCUAACCAUGGAACCUGAUGACCAUUGGAACUUCAAUAAGAGACAGACCUCGUCUUGAGAACAACUUCUAGCUAACAAUAAAUUACCUAUAAAAACCACAUGGUGCGUGGGGUUGGGUUGGGGUGCUGGCAAACUUAACGAUAUUCAAUGAAAGAAAAUCUACGCCAUGUUUCCAAAUAUCCUAGCAUACCUUUUAUAGAGAAGUCGUAACCGUUUUUUUUUGUCUGGCUGAGCGUCAAUAAGACAGCCUUUUCGAAAUUUUUUGCCCCUUUUUGUUUUGUUUGGAGAUUAAAAAUCUUGCAGAGUGGAUGGAUUGCUACUAAGUCGGGAGAGAAAAGAAUCCAACAGAACGCACUGUAAUCGUGUUGCAAUCCUCAAGAAAGAGUGGUUUGAGACGAAAUGUUAUUGGCCAUGUUAAGAAAACAGAUUCAUAAAUACUAGUAGUACAUAAUCGUAGAAUAUUCGUUGUUUGUUCUCUGCCUUAGUCUUUGGCAUUCAGUUGUGUUCUGGUGUGUACAUUAAGAUCUGUGUCUGCCAUGAAGGCGAUCUGUCUUAGAUCAACCUUGUAACGUUGGUGGGGUUGGUGGGUAAGUUGACGUAUUUGUCGUUUAACACAAUAUAAUCGUAACCAUUUAUUAACGGAAACAAAAAUUUAGGGUUCUGUUGUCGUCACAAUCACCCGACAGUGAAGAGGUGUCAGCACAAACGUAAAAACUUUAUCAUUAAUUUUGCGUAUGUUUAACGUGUCGUUCCAAACUGACAAUAGUAGGCACCCAUCCAUCUCAUGAGAUGAUGGUAGAUGAAUGUGUUGACAAUGAACAUGCCAAAAUAGGAAAGAACUUCUACAGCGAUAGAGGACAAUGUAUAUAUGAUUUAUCAUAAGGCUCCUGAACCAUACGAGGUACCGGUGGAGCCCAGCAGGAAGUCACCAGACAGGGAUGCAGUCAAGAAAGGGAAGAUGGAGGACAAGCUCCAGGAACUUCGACAGGAGCUACAGAGUGUGGUGUAUGUACCAAACCAGUGACGCCUUCUGGUGCCAUCGCAUAUGCUCGUGUGGACUAUAUGCACAUGAUACUAGUAGCUCAAACAGGGUGUACUCUCACUAUCUAGAAAGACCAACAGAAGGAGGACAAACAGAAAGCUAUAUCAAGUUAAGGGACGAUGUUACAAGGUCAUACGCACUAUACGUCAGGGACUAAGGAUAGAUGUGUAAAGCUCAUAAGAUAUCAUAAUUUGCAUUUUUGUAGACAUAAACAUUUCCCAGUGUUAAGAUGUGUAGGUACUGUUGAACCAAUUGUUAUACAGUGGAGACCUAACAUGCAAUAUAUUGCCAUAAAUGUGUAUGUACAUUUUUAAUGUUGCCUACAAUAGAGAAUCAAUAAUAGUUAAUUACUUUGUGGUAAAUGUAUCAUUGCAGAGUAAAGCUGUUAUAAUGUUGAGGUGACCACAGCUAUCGUAAGAACAAUGUGCCAAUAUCAUACUGUGUCUCAAAACAUGUUAAUGUGAAGACCUUUUCAUUGUUUAACUUUAAGAAAACAGGUGCCUACUGUAAGAAAAGUAUUUUAACCCUGGUGGGUGGAAGACACAUAGAAUAGUGGUGCCCUUAGGUGGAAGACUACAAAGGAACUACUGUUAGAUCUAUGGCACAUGUAAAUUAUGUUCAGGAAUCAUACAAUGAAAGUCAUCAACUGAAGUAGUGUGCAGUCUCUUCUGUUUGUAAUCAAAUGAACGAACAUGAUAUGAAGGCAAUAAGAAGUUUUAAUAACUGUACUCUCAAUAUUGGUGUUUACAAAAUAAAAGUCCAAUGGUUAUGGUA